rnacentral:rRNA from 1 species
ACGGAAGGCAGCAGUGGGGAAUAUUGGGCAAUGGGCGAAAGCCUGACCCAGCAACGCCGCGUGAAGGAAGAAGGCCUUCGGGUUGUAAACUUCUUUUAUCAGGGACGAAGAAUGUGACGGUACCUGAUGAAUAAGCCACGGCUAACUACGUGCCAGCAGCCGCGGUAAUACGUAGGUUGCAAGCGUUGUCCGGAUUUACUGGGUUUAAAGGGUGCGUAGGCUGUGCGACAAGUCAGGGGUGAAAGCCCGCCGCCCAACGGUGGAACUGCCUUUGAUACUGUCGCGCUGGAAUACGGAUGCCGUGGGAGGAAUGAGUAGUGUAGCGGUGAAAUGCAUAGAUAUUACUCAGAACACCGAUUGCGAAGGCAUCUCACGAAUCCGUCAUUGACGCUGAGGCACGAAAGCGUGGGGAUCAAACAGGAUUAGAUACCCUGGUA